GGGAUUUCCUCAGUAACGGCGAGUGAAGCGGUAACAGCUCAAAUUUGAAAGCUAGCUCUUUUAGGGUUCGCGUUGUAAUUUGUAGAAGAUGUUUCGGGUGUGGCCCCGGUCUAAGUUCCUUGGAACAGGACGUCAUAGAGGGUGAGAAUCCCGUAUGUGACUGGGUGCUUUCGUCCAUGUGAAACUCUUUCGACGAGUCGAGUUGUUUGGGAAUGCAGCUCAAAAUGGGUGGUAUAUUUCAUCUAAAGCUAAAUAUUGGCCAGAGACCGAUAGCGCACAAGUAGAGUGAUCGAAAGAUGAAAAGCACUUUGGAAAGAGAGUUAAACAGUACGUGAAAUUGUUGAAAGGGAAGCGCUUGCAACCAGACUUGCGCGCUGAUGAUCAUCCGGGCUUCUGUCCGGUGCACUCGUCUGCGCUCAGGCCAGCAUCGGUUUUGGUGGUGGGAUAAAGGCCUUGGGAAUGUAGCUCCUCUCGGGGAGUGUUAUAGCCCUCGGUGCAAUGCCGCCUACCGGGACCGAGGACCGCGCUUCGGCUAGGAUGCUGGCGUAAUGGUUGUAAGCGACCCGUCUUGAAACACGGACCAAGGAGUCUAACAUCUAUGCGAGUGUUUGGGUGUUAAACCCAUACGCGUAAUGAAAGUGAACGGAGGUGAGAACCCUUAAGGGUGCAUCAUCGACCGAUCCUGAUGUCUUCGGAUGGAUUUGAGUAAGAGCAUAGCUGUUGGGACCCGAAAGAUGGUGAACUAUGCGUGAAUAGGGUGAAGCCAGAGGAAACUCUGGUGGAGGCUCGCAGCGGUUCUGACGUGCAAAUCGAUCGUCAAAUUUGCGUAUAGGGGCGAAAGACUAAUCGAAC
rnacentral:rRNA from 1 species